rnacentral:rRNA from 1 species
CCUACGGGUGGCAGCAGUGGGGGAUAUUGCACAAUGGGGGGAACCCUGAUGCAGCGACGCCGCGGGGGUGAAGAAGGGCCUCGGCGCGUAAAGCCCUGUCAGCAGGGAAGAAAAUGACGGUACCUGAAGAAGAAGCACCGGCUAACUACGUGCCAGCAGCCGCGGUAAUACGUAGGAGGCAAGCGUUAUCCGGAUUUCAUGGGGGUAAAGGGUGGGCAGACGGAGAUGCAAGCCAGUAGUGAAAGCCCGGGGCGCAACCCCGGGACUGAUAUCGCAACUGCGUGGCUGGAGUGCAGGAGGGGCAGGCGGAAUUCCUGGUGUAGCGGUGAAAUGCGUAGAGAUCAGGAGGAACACCGGUGGCGAAGGCGGCCUGCUGGACUGCAACUGACGUUGAGGCCCGAAAGCGUGGGGAGCGAACAGGAUUAGAUACCCUGGUAGUC